rnacentral:misc_RNA from 1 species
ACGAGAUCAUGCCCUCACGGGUAGACCUCCCACCCUUGAAUACUAUACCUUCGUUGCUUUGGCGGGCCGCCGAUGGCCACCGGCUCCGGCUGGUGAGCGCCCGCCAGAGGACCCAAAACUCUGCAUCAUGUGUCGUCUGAGUACUAUACAAUAGUUA